CCUACGGGGGGCAGCAGUGGGGAAUAUUGGACAAUGGGGGCAACCCUGAUCCAGCCAUGCCGCGUGUGUGAAGAAGGCCCUCGGGUUGUAUAGCACUUUCAGUGAGGAAGAACGCCUGGUGGUUAAUACCCAUCAGGAAAGACAUCACUCACAGAAGAAGCACCGGCUAACUCCGUGCCAGCAGCCGCGGUAAUACGGAGGGUGCGAGCGUUAAUCGGAAUUACUGGGCGUAAAGCGCGCGUAGGUGGCUUGAUAAGCCGGUUGUGAAAGCCCCGGGCGCAACCUGGGAACGGCAUCCGGAACUGUCAAGCUAGAGUGCAGGAGAGGAAGGUAGAAUUCCCGGUGUAGCGGUGAAAUGCGUAGAGAUCGGGAGGAAUACCAGUGGCGAAGGCGGCCUUCUGGACUGACACUGACACUGAGGUGCGAAAGCGUGGGUAGCAAACAGGAUUAGAUACCCGGGUAGUC
rnacentral:rRNA from 1 species